CCCAGACUCCUACGGGAGGCAGCAGUGGGGAAUAUUGCACAAUGGGGGGAACCCUGAUGCAGCGACGCCGCGUGAGUGAAGAAGUAUUUCGGUAUGUAAAGCUCUGUCAGCAGGGAAGAAGAAAGACGGUACCUGACCAAGAAGCCCCGGCUAACUACGUGCCAGCAGCCGCGGUAAUACGUAGGGGGCAAGCGUUAUCCGGAUUUACUAGGUGUAAAGGGAGCGUAGACGGCAGGGCAAGUCUGGAGUGAAAGGCAGGGGCCCAACCCCUGGACUGCUCUGGAAACUGUCCGGCUGGAGUGCAGGAGAGGUAAGUGGAAUUCCUAGUGUAGCGGUGAAAUGCGUAGAUAUUAGGAGGAACACCAGUGGCGAAGGCGGCCUGCUGGGCUUUAACUGACGCUGAGGCUCGAAAGCGUGGGGAGCAAACAGGAUUAGAUACCCUUGUA
rnacentral:rRNA from 1 species